rnacentral:rRNA from 1 species
CCUCGGGAGGCAGCAGUGAGGAAUAUUGCGCAAUGGAGGAAACUCUGACGCAGCCACGCCGCGUGGUGGAUGACACCCCUAUGGGGCGUAAACACCUUUUAUGAGAGAAGAAGUCCCUAUUCGAUAGGGUUUGACGGUACCUCAUGAAUAAGCACCGGCUAACUCCGUGCCAGCAGCCGUGGUAAUACGGAGGGUGCAAGCGUUGUCCGGAAUCACUGGGUGUAAAGGGUGUGUAGGCGGAGCUGUAAGUCAGAGGUGAAAUCCUGCGGCUUAACCGUAGAACUGCCUUUGAUACUGCAGCCCUUGAGUAUCGGAGAGGUUGCUGGAAUUCGUGGUGUAGCGGUGAAAUGCGUAGAUAUCACGAGGAACACCAGAGGCGUAGGCGGGCAACUGGACGAUUACUGACGCUGAGGCACGAAAGCGUGGGGAGCAAACAGGAUUAGAUACCCUGGUAGUCCACGCCGUAAACGAUGGAUGCUCGGUGUCGCCCUCUUAGAGGGGCGGUGCCUAAGCUAACGCGUUAAGCAUCCCACCUGGGGAGUACGCUCGCAAGAGUGAAACUCAAAUGAAUUGACGG